GAGUUUGAUCCUGGCUCAGGACGAACGCUGGCGGCGCGCCUAACACAUGCAAGUCGAACGAGCGAGAGAGAGCUUGCUUUCUCAAGCGAGUGGCGAACGGGUGAGUAACGCGUGAGGAACCUGCCUCAAAGAGGGGGACAACAGUUGGAAACGACUGCUAAUACCGCAUAAGCCCACAGCUCGGCAUCGAGCAGAGGGAAAAGGAGCAAUCCGCUUUGAGAUGGCCUCGCGUCCGAUUAGCUGGUUGGUGAGGUAAUGGCCCACCAAGGCGACGAUCGGUAGCCGGACUGAGAGGUUGAACGGCCACAUUGGGACUGAGACACGGCCCAGACUCCUACGGGAGGCAGCAGUGGGGAAUAUUGCACAAUGGGGGAAACCCUGAUGCAGCGACGCCGCGUGGAGGAAGAAGGUCUUCGGAUUGUAAACUCCUGUUGUUGAGGAAGAUAAUGACGGUACUCAACAAGGAAGUGACGGCUAACUACGUGCCAGCAGCCGCGGUAAAACGUAGGUCACAAGCGUUGUCCGGAAUUACUGGGUGUAAAGGGAGCGCAGGCGGGAAGACAAGUUGGAAGUGAAAUCUAUGGGCUCAACCCAUAAACUGCUUUCAAAACUGUUUUUCUUGAGUAGUGCAGAGGUAGGCGGAAUUCCCGGUGUAGCGGUGGAAUGCGUAGAUAUCGGGAGGAACACCAGUGGCGAAGGCGGCCUACUGGGCACCAACUGACGCUGAGGCUCGAAAGUGUGGGUAGCAAACAGGAUUAGAUGCCCUGGUAGUCCACACCGUAAACGAUGAUUACUAGGUGUUGGAGGAUUGACCCCUUCAGUGCCGCAGUUAACACAAUAAGUAAUCCACCUGGGGAGUACGACCGCAAGGUUGAAACUCAAAGGAAUUGACGGGGGCCCGCACAAGCAGUGGAGUAUGUGGUUUAAUUCGACGCAACGCGAAGAACCUUACCAAGUCUUGACAUCCCUUGACGAUGCUGGAAACAGUAUUUCUCUUCGGAGCAAGGAGACAGGUGGUGCAUGGUUGUCGUCAGCUCGUGUCGUGAGAUGUUGGGUUAAGUCCCGCAACGAGCGCAACCCUUACUGUCAGUUACUACGCAAGAGGACUCUGGCAGGACUGCCGUUGACAAAACGGAGGAAGGUGGGGAUGACGUCAAAUCAUCAUGCCCUUUAUGACUUGGGCUACACACGUACUACAAUGGCGUUAAACAAAGAGAAGCAAGACCGCGAGGUGGAGCAAAACUCAGAAACAACGUCCCAGUUCGGACUGCAGGCUGCAACUCGCCUGCACGAAGUCGGAAUUGCUAGUAAUCGUGGAUCAGCAUGCCACGGUGAAUACGUUCCCGGGCCUUGUACACACCGCCCGUC
rnacentral:rRNA from 1 species